UACAGAGGUCUCAAGCGUUGUUCGGAUUCAUUGGGCGUAAAGGGUUGUGUAGGUGGCGCCGUAAGUCGGGUGUGAAAUUUCGGAGCUUAACUCCGAAACUGCAUUCGAUACUGCGGUGCUUGAGGACUGGAGAGGAGACUGGAAUUCAUGGUGUAGCAGUGAAAUGCGUAGAGAUCAUGAGGAAGACCAGUGGCGAAGGCGGGUCUCUGGACAGUUCCUGACGCUGAGGCACGAAGGCCAGGGGAGCAAACGGG
rnacentral:rRNA from 1 species